rfam:Erwinia iniecta strain B120 contig000013, whole genome shotgun sequence.
AGCAGGGAGCGACCAAAGUAAAAAAGAGUGAGCCGGCGGCGCCUGGAGCGCGGCCGGCGAGU